rnacentral:rRNA from 1 species
GCCCCGAGAUGAGUUCUCCCUGACUCCUUAAGAGUCCUGAAGGAACGUUGAAGACGACGACGUUGAUAGGCCGGGUGUGUAAGCGCAGCGAUGCGUUGAGCUAACCGGUACUAAUGAACCGUGAGGCUUAACCUUACAACGCCGAAGGUGUUU